rnacentral:lncRNA from 1 species
UUUUGUUUGUUUUUAUUUCAUAAUAUUUAGUUGUUACUAACUUAUUUUCUUUUUUCCACUAUUUUCACAUUUUAUUUUAGGUGUUGUAUGACCCAAAGAAAUUCAGAGUUUAUUGUCGAUUUUGAUCCAAAAAUUGAAAGAACAAUUCGGAGUAGACUUCGAGAACAAAGAAAUAUGGCUUUAAUAAGAAACUAUGAAGU